rnacentral:rRNA from 1 species
AGUGAACGCUGGCGGUAGGCCUAACACAUGCAAGUCGAACGGCAGCACAGUAAGAGCUUGCUCUUACGGGUGGCGAGUGGCGGACGGGUGAGGAAUACAUCGGAAUCUACUUUUUCGUGGGGGAUAACGUAGGGAAACUUACGCUAAUACCGCAUACGACCUACGGGUGAAAGCAGGGGAUCUUCGGACCUUGCGCGAUUGAAUGAGCCGAUGUCGGAUUAGCUAGUUGGCGGGGUAAAGGCCCACCAAGGCGACGAUCCGUAGCUGGUCUGAGAGGAUGAUCAGCCACACUGGAACUGAGACACGGUCCAGACUCCGACGGGAGGCAGCAGUGGGGAAUAUUGGACAAAGGGGGCAAGCCUGAUCCAGCCAUACCGCGUGGGUGAAGAAGGCCUUCGGGUUGUAAAGCCCUUUUGUUGGGAAAGAAAAGCAGCAGGUUAAUACCCCGCUGUUCUGACGGUACCCAAAGAAUAAGCACCGGCUAACUUCGUG